rnacentral:rRNA from 1 species
AACACUUCAGUUUAUUUAUUAAAUUUAAUAAUUUAAUUUAACUAAAAUGUAAAAAGACAUUUAUAAUAAAGAAAGACGACAAGACCCUAUAGAACUUAACUUUAGUUUAACUGGGGAAGUAAAUUAAUUAUAAUUUUAAAUUAAAAUUUUAUAAAAAUAUCUAAUAUAAUUAAAUUAUUUAGUUACCUUAGGGAUAACAGCGCAAUUAAAUUUCAAAGUUCCUAUUUAAAAUUUAGAUUACGACCUCGAUGUUGAAUUAAUAACCUUAUUUAAGCAAAUUUUUAAGAAGGAAGUCUGUUCGACUUUUAAAUAAUUACAUGAUUUGAGUUCAGACCGGUGUAAGCCAGGUCGGUUUCCAUCUUCUUAAUAGUUUAUUACAGUACGAAAGGACCUAAUAAUAUUAUAUUAUAAUAUAUUAGCAGAAAAAUGCAUUAGAAUUAGAAUCUAAUUAAACUUUU